rnacentral:rRNA from 1 species
GACGAACGCUGGCGGCGUGCUUAACACAUGCAAGUCGAACGGAAAGGCCCUGGUUUUGUGGGGUACUCGAGUGGCGAACGGGUGAGUAACACGUGAGUAACCUGCCCUUGACUUUGGGAUAACUUCAGGAAACUGGGGCUAAUACCGGAUAGGAGCUCCUGCUGCAUGGUGGGGGUUGGAGAGUUUCGGCGGUUGGGGAUGGGCUCGCGGCUUAUCAGCUUGUUGGUGGGGUAGUGGCUUACCAAGGCUUUGACGGGUAGCCGGCCUGAGAGGGUGACCGGCCACAUUGGGACUGAGAUACGGCCCAGACUCCUACGGGAGGCAGCAGUGGGGAAUAUUGCACAAUGGGCGGAAGCCUGAUGCAGCAACGCCGCGUGCGGGAUGACGGCCUUCGGGUUGUAAACCGCUUUCGCCAGGGACGAAGCGUGAGUGACGGUAAUGGGUAAAGAAGCACCGGCUAACUACGUG